rnacentral:rRNA from 1 species
GGGUGCGAUCAUACCAGCACUAAUGACACCGGAUCCCAUCAGAACUCCGCAGUUAAACGUGCUUGGGCGAGAGUAGUAACUAGAAGGAUGACCUCCAUGGGAAAGUCCUCGUGUUAUAGUGA